rnacentral:lncRNA from 1 species
GUUGGAAAUAACCACGCUGUCUAAGUCCGGGUCGGACUAGAGUCAAUCACGUGUACAUGUAGGAGUCCUAGUCCUAGUUAGCUUUAGGCUGUUUGGUUUAGCUCCUAUAUAUACUUGUACCCCUGUAAGGUUUUUUAACCUAGAUCAAAAAGAAAUAAAGUAUUAGGUGCGACACACACCUAUUGCUAUCCAUCAGCGUCUCGUAUUUGUUUCGUGUGUGUGCGUGAGUUCCCGGCAAGAUCAAUCGAUCAUGUACGUCUAGCUAGCUUCCACAGAUUCGAUCCACCUGCCUGAGUGCCUACUUGGUUGCAACGUACGUGCGUGUGUUGGUCAAAAGUAUCGACCGGCUAGAACACAUCAAGCAGCCGGGUUGUGCACGUGUGUCACCUCGACGGAAAGUACUCGUCGACGUCGGGACCAGUGCCAACAAUUGGUAUCCUCGGAAAGCAAUCGAAGGAUCAUGUCGACCACGGGCAAGGAGAUUGUGACGGCGGCAGCGGGAGCACCGAUGCCGAUGGUGGGGGGAUCACAAUUCCCCCGUCUGGAUCGAGAGGACUACGCACUAUGGGCGAUGAACAUGGAGGUCGCGAUGGAGGGAGCUGAGUUCUGGGAAGCCGUCGACCCGGGCGGCGCCGAGUACGCAAAGGGCGCGGCAAAGUACCGGAAGGAUCGUCAGGCGUUAACAGCGAUCUACUCCGCCAUGCCGAAGGAUGUGCUGCAACACCUCGUCGGAAAGAACUCGGCGAAGGAGGCAUGGGAGACCAUCAAGAUCCUGCACCAGGGUCAUGACCGUGUCAAGGAAGCACACCUUCAAUCCCUGAUGAGAAGCUACGAGUGCCUGAAGAUGGAUGAAAGUGAGACGGUUGAUCAGUUUGCCGCCCGUCUCAAGACCCUCGUCAACGGCAUACGCAGCUAUGGUUCAACCCUAGAAGAAGUUGCGAUCGUCCGACGAUUUUUGCGCGCCGCGCCGGCACGCUACAUUCAGAUUGUCACGUCGAUCGAGCAAUGUCUCGACCUGAAGACUCUCACGGUUGAGGAUCUCGUCGGAAGGUUCAAGGCCCACGACGAGAGAAUUCGUCUCAGUUUCGGCGACACGGAGGCGAGUGAGCACCUCAUGCUUACAAAGGCGCAAUGGAUCGCCCUGUCGAAAGAAAAGCAAGGCGGAUCUACGAGCAGCGGCAAGAAGAAGGGGAAGGGGAAGCAGCGCUCGGCGAGAAAGAACUUCGCUGACUCGGACGACGAGGAUGCGCCUGCACCACCGAGGAGGAAGUUUGACAUCAGAAAAGUGAGGUGUCAUAAGUGUGGCCUCCUCGAUCACUUCAAGGCUAACUGCGAAGAAGCACCGAAGCAACGGGCGCUUAUGGCCGAGGAAGGAGACGAUGGGGAUAUGAUGCUAAUGUGCGAGCUAGUGGACGAAGAGGAUCCAGAUGAUCUUGGUCAGCCGGACACGGGUCCGGUGAGUGCAUCUGCGUCAGUAAACCCAGGCGAAGUUAUGGCGCCAGAAGACCAUGACCCAGGGCGUGAUAGUGUGAUUACGUCAGUAAACCCAGGCGAAGUCGUGGCGCCCGAAGACCAUGACGUAAGGCGUGACGAUGUGAUCGCGCUCGAGAACGGCGAAGACGUGGCGCCAGAAGUCCAUGACACAAGGCGUGACUGUGUGUUCGCGCUAGAUUCAGGCGAUGACAUGAUGCCAGAAGUCCAUGACACGAGGCAUGAUUAUGUGGUCACGCUGAAAUCAGGCGAAGACGUGGCGCCAGAAGUCCACAACACCAUGUGUGACGGUGUGGUCACGCAAGAAAACAACAAAGACGUGUUGCCAGAACAACCGGAAACUUCGGCAACACGGAGCGAUGCUCCAGACGAUGGCGCGCGGCGAGACGCGUCAGGGACCUCACCUGGAUCAGCUGGCGUCCCAGGAACAGGAGUUGCAGCCUCUCCUCGAAGCACAAGGAGCAGCGCAAGGAGCGCGUCUAGUGCUGGCGCUACAAGCGACACGCAUGGCCUACGAGGCAUGCACGCUGUGCCGUGCAGCUCAGCCAGCUGCACUGGAGGCAGUGGCCCCGCGGACGGGCCGAAAGCUGGGCGUGGCCCAGCACCAAGCUCCCAGCCGGGGAGCCCAGCAGGCAGGCCGGCUACUGGCAGGCCAGAACAGCCAGAAGGCCCAGCCGUGGCUCAACUUUCAGUAGAACACGUGGCUGGAGGACCAGAAGGGCAUGCACGUGAAGCAUCUCUAGUGUUUUUGGCUGGUUCAACUUGUGAAAGUGCAGCUAAUUUGGAAGGUACCAAAUUGCUAGAAAAUGGAACUUUGGCAAGUUCAGAAGCAAGCGUGUUUUCUCCGGUAGCACGAGAACGACGCGUGUUGGAUCUCUCUCCAAAGGAAGCGCUUCAAAUAAAUUCGGUGACGAUGAAGAGUAAAGGGCAACGAUGUUUGCACAUCGGGGAACCGGAAAAUUUUGAAGACGCAAAGACGGAAGAGUGUUGGCGUCGUGCUAUGAAUGAAGAGUUGUGGUCGAUCCGAGACAACAAUACAUGGGAGCUCGCGGAUCUUUCCAACGGUCAGAAUGCCAUAGAGCUCAAGUGGGUGUACAAAGUCAAGAAAGAUGCCGAAAGGAACUUGAUGAAGCAUAAAGCAAGGCUUGUAGCUAAAGCAUGCAUGCAAAAGCAAGAUGUGGACUUCGAAGAAGUGUUCGCUCCAGUUGCAAGGAUGGACUCGGUGAGACUACUUAUAGCUUUCGCGGCUCAAGAAUCUUGGAGGAUACAUCACUUGGAUGUGAACUCCGCGUUUUUGACCGGGGAGUUAGAAGAAGAAUUGUAUGUGAAGCAACCACCAGGGUACAUCCAAGAAGGAGAGGAACACAAGGUAUUGAAGCUACACAAGGCGUUGUACGGGCUACGACAAGCUCCUCAGGCAUGGAAUGUUGAGCUUGACCGUACAUUGAUUUCUCUUGGAUUUGAGAAAGCCCCACUAGAGCAUGCUAUGUACAAGCGAGGUGAUGGCAAUGAUCGUCUACUAGUGGGCAUCUAUGUGGAUGAUUUGCUGAUAACUGGAGCAGACGAAGAGGUGAUUGCAAACUUCAAACUACAAAUGAAGAAGCUAUUCAAGAUGACUGAUCUAGGGCUCUUGAGUUACUACCUCGGGAUCGAGGUACAGCAAAAGCCGGAGGGGAUCAUAAUAUGCCAGGAGGCAUAUGCAAAGAAGGUACUUGAAAGCUGUGGCAUGAAAGAUUGCAAUCCACCUCGUCACAGACUAAGCAAGAAGAGUGAAGCACCCGCGGUUGAUGCAACGGAGUAUAGAAGUGUGGUCCGAAAGUUGAGGUAUCUCACGAAUACAAGACCGGACUUGGCCUAUUCCGUUGGCAUAGUGAGUCGCUUCAUGGAAGCACCCAUGACGGAGCAUUGGGCAGCGGUGGAAAAUAUACUCAGGUACAUCAAAGGGACAACAAAUUUCGGUUGUGUCUACUUGAGAAAGAAGAAGAAGGAGAUGGUGGAGCUACUUGGCUACAGUGAUAGCGACAUGGCAGGAGAUGUGGACGACCGUAAAAGUACCUCGGGUGUGGCAUAUUUUUUGGGAGGAAGCAUAGUGAGUUGGCUGUCACAAAAGCAGAAGGUGGUCGCAUUAUCAUCUCGUGAAGCAGAGUAUAUUGCAGCUGCAACCGCGGUGUGUCAAGGUGUGUGCCUUGGAAGGCUACUCGGUGACCUCACAGGUAAGGAACCGGAAGGAGUGGUGUUCAAUAUUGAUGACGUGUCUACAAUCUCUCUAUGGAAGAAUCCAGUGCAUCAUGGUAGAUGCAAGGACAUCGAUAUGAGACAUCACUACCUAAGGGAGUGUGUGGAAGAAAGCAAGAUCGACAUCAACUACAUUUGCACCGAUGACCAGCUUGCAGAUAUCCUAACCAGAUCUUUGGGACGACAGAAGUUCGUGAAGAUGCGGCGAAGGAUCGGCGUCCAAGCUGUGAAGUGAGGACAUCGUGUUUAGGGGGGUGAUUGUUGGAAAUAACCACGCUGUCUAAGUCCGGGUCGGACUAGAGUCAAUCACGUGUACAUGUAGGAGUCCUAGUCCUAGUUAGCUUUAGGCUGUUUGGUUUAGCUCCUAUAUAUACUUGUACCCCUGGAAGGUUUUUUGAACUCAGAAAAAAGCAAUACAAAGCAUAGGUGCGACACGCACCUAUUAGCCAUCAAAUAUCUUGU